rnacentral:rRNA from 1 species
GCAUGUUGGUUUAAUUCGAAGCAACGCGAAGAACCUUACCAGGUUCUUGACAUCCCGAUGCUUAUUUCUAGAGAUAGAAAGUUACUUCGGUACAUCGGUGACAGGUGGUGCAUGGUUGUCGUCAGCUCGUGUCGUGAGAUGUUGGGUUAAGUCCCGCAACGAGCGCAACCCCUAUUGUUAGUUGCCAUCAUUCAGUUGGGCACUCUAGCGAGACUGCCGGUAAUAACCGGAGGAAGUGGGGAUGACGUCAAAUCAUCAUGCCCCUUAUGACCUGGGCUACACACGUGCUACAAUGGUUGGUACAACGAGUUGCGAGUCGGUGACGGCGAGCUAAUCUCUUAAAGCCAAUCUCAGUUCGGAUUGUAGGCUGCAACUCGCCUACAUGAAGUCGGAAUCGCUAGUAAUCACGGAUCAGCACGCCCGCGGUCGAAUACGUUCCGGGCCUU